AGCUGUGUGCUUUCCUCUCUGCAACGCAGACUCCUUUCCUUUAUAUCUCCUGACCGUUUUGUCCCCUCCUCCUCAGUUCACCUUCUCCACUCUCUCUCUCUCUCUCUCUCUCUCUCUCUCUAUGCACGAAGUCAUGGAGCUUGACUGAUUCGGAAGAAUCGCAACCCAGGGGAGCAAGAAGGAGGAGGAGAAGGUCGGAAGGUGUACAAUGGGGUGCUUCCCCGGUUGCUUCGGUAAGAAACGGGGGAAGCAGCGGCGCAGAGUCCAUGUUCAGGCCGGCGACCAGAGGGCUGCGAGUGUCCAACCCGCGCAAUUUGUUCCGGUUCCUGUCCAAGAUAAUGCAGUGGAGCCUGUAAAUUUAGUUUCUGAGACCAGCUGUAAGCCCGAGAAGGAGAAGUCGAGCCCCAUUGCUCGGAAGAGAGUCACAUUCGAUACGAAUGUCCAGACCAUUGAGCAUGUUGAAGUACCGGACUCUGCAGCUGAGGUCGAGGAAGUAGGUAAGGAAGGGGAAAAUGAGGAGAGUAGCAUGAUACGACCACUCUUGUCUGAAUAUUCCUCCGAGGAUGUUUCCUUCGCCUCGAGCGUGGGGUCCUAUACCCCAAAUAAUCGAUACGAGAAUUGCAGAGAGAGUGACGAUGAAGAUUUGGGCUCGGAUUGUGGUGACAGCGACCUAGAAGAUGAUUAUGAGGAUGACUUGGAUGACGAUGGUGAUGGAGAUGAUUUCGACUGUCUCGAUGAGGAUUACGAUAAAAUUGAUCGAUCAAGGGUGAAUCAGGGGAUCCUGGACAAGAGUAACGGCCCUGUGCAGAACCCAGACAGACUGAAUUUGAAUGCACUGGAUAGGAGUGCCUUUGUUCAUCCUGUCCUGAAACCGAUAGAGAACUUGACACAGUGGAAAGCUGCCAAAGCAAAAGGGCACCCACCGGCUAAGCAUCGCAACCGUAAGGAAGAUUUGAGCUUUGAUCAAGAGUCAAGGAUCUCGUUCGGAACCGAACCGGAUUUCAAUGGAGGUUCAUUCAGUUGAAAUCCAAACCUGCUGAGUCCAAUAAGUCAUCUUCUCGAGAAAUUUCCGUGGAUGCUAGCCUCUCGAACUGGCUGGUUUCAUCCGAGAGCACGCCGAUUGAUAAGAAGAGCCCCAAAUCUAUCUGCUCCUCUCCAAAGAGUACAUGCCGAGGAUCGAACUCCCCCUUUAGAAGCCAAGAAGAUAGACCGAUCUUAGGGGCGCUUACAGUCGAAGAACUUAGACAGUUCUCAGCCACAAAUUCACCGAGGAAGUCUCCGAGUCGAAGCCCGGACGAGAUUCCCAUCAUUGGGACGGUAGGAACCUACUGGAAUCACUCUGCUGGAGGAUCAGCCAAGAACAACUCUUCUCGUUCAGCUUGUUCGUUCAAAGGGAUUCCAAACACGACCAGCAAGUACCAAGAGGACAAGAAGGUGAAUUGGCAUUCGACUCCCUUUGAGACAAGAUUGGAGAGAGCUCUGAACAAGGGUGCUGCUGCUGAUCAAGCUUGUGUCUUGUGAGCAUUUCAGUGUCUUUGAUGAGUGUGUGUGGUUAAAGUUGGAUUGAAAAAAAAAAAAAACCAUUUUGUUGAUUCUUUAUGUGAAUGCGUUUACGUUGUGAUAUAGUACAUGGCUGGAUGAUGUAAGUUUCGAUAUUGGUGGUUUGCACAAUGAAUGAGCUUUUACGUAUA